GACGUAGGGCGCGAGCGUUGUCCGGAUUUAUUGGGCGUAAAGAGCUCGUAGGCGGCUUGUCGCGUCGGCUGUGAAAACCCGCGGCUCAACUGUGGGCGGGCAGCUGAUACGGGCAUGACUGGAGUUCGGCAGGGGAGACUGGAAUUCCUGGUGUAGCGGUGAAAUGCGCAGAUAUCAGGAAGAACACCCGUGGCGAAGGCGGCUCUCUGGGACGGUACUGACGCUGAGACGCGAAAGCGUGGGGAGCGAACAGG
rnacentral:rRNA from 1 species